UGGUCAUUACCAAGGCUUUUAGAAUGCAGUUCUAAUUUGCUUUAGUGCUGACCAUAAAAAAAACCCACCACUAAUCUUUCUUUUUGCUAUCUUGCUAGCAUUCAGCCUAUUGGGAACAUUC
rnacentral:snoRNA from 1 species